GACAGCCUAUCAUCUAGUUGCUGUUCAGGAGUAGGUGGGGGAAUCUUACUCAGAGAAGGUGGAAUCAUAACAAGACGUUGAAUGUAUUCUGGUUGGCAUUUGAUUUUCUGCACUGUUUACCUGCGUGUAUAAACACUACUACGGAGUCACCAUGGUGGAGCGUUUACCCAGAACAUCAAGAAGCGCUGAAAAGGAUCACAUUCAAGCUUUAGGCAUUCAAUCUCUUCACAAGCUUCAGUAGCUAAUUUCCUUUAAGCCUAUUUACAUCCGUAUGCUGCUACAUUAUAGAAUCAAUCCAGUUUUAAAUUCCUGAUUCAGUUAUGGAGGAAUAGGAGCAGCGAAAUACGCUAAACAGGCUGAAGAGAGCAAAUAUAGGAGCUGCAAACGAAUUCCUAAGACUGGCAGAUUGGCUAGAAAAAGCAGUCAAUUUAUCCAAGGAUACUGCAACGUUACGUUACUCAAGUGGGUGCUUAGCAGUUGGUCAGGAUUCCGUCAGAUGAACAGCUGUUGGAUUGAAUGAUGCCAAUUAACUCCCAAUUGAGGGGCAGACAUAUGUUAUCCCGCUGCAGCAAAGAUUUUAGGAUGGAUUAAUUACAGGAACGUAAAUAAAUUAGCAGCAGAUUGUAGGAAUUAACCAGUUUAUAGAAUCCUAUAUCUGUUAAGACGGAUUAGCGACGAAAUUAACUCCGAUCAUGUCUGGAGAGGGCGAGUAAAAAGGAUCAGGAACAGCAGCAUAAAAAUAGAAUUAAAAAACCAGAAUUUUAUUUUUUCCAGAAUUUUUCCAGAAUUAAGAAAACCAAUUUUAGUUUUAAUGAAUUAUAUUUAAGUAGUUUAAGUAAUUUUGUGUUAAUAAAAUGUAAUAAAUCAUCGAUCAGAUGUGAAAAAUUCAA